AGUCUCGCUGCAGUACGUCACUGAUAAAGCCACUCAACGUUGGGGAUGACUUCUUUCGGCUCGAGCUACGGAGUUGCUUCUGCCCAACCCGAUUUUGGAACUCGUUCACUCACCGGUACAGGAGUACGGCGUUUACCGUAGGGCCACCGGCAAUAACUGCCAGAAGAAGUUGUGGGAUUCCCUGGAACUGGAGCAACCAACAGUUUGUGUGCACCAUGUGGGUAAUGGGAAUCGAACCUGGGUCCUCUAUAAGACUGGCCAGUGCUCUUAACUACUGAGGUGCAUUUCUUUCGGAAUUGAUUCACAUAACUAUUAUGCUAUACUGUUUGAAGUAUUUAUUAGAAAAACAUCAGAAAGAGAUUUGGACCACUUUCAUUUACAUGAAGAAAUAUCUUAGGGUUUCUUUUCAGGUAUCUUUGAGUAUCUUCUGACACUAGAAGAUCCUGUAAACUCUACAGACUUCAACAGAAUUGAAGAACCUGGACAGAGCAGAGUUACCAACAAGAGAGCCCAGGGAUAGCAUUAACAUGGUGGUUACUCAAGACCUAACUCAGCCAGGGAGACAUACCAAGGCCUAUGAGGUGAAGGGAAAAGAAGGGUGACCCAAAGGGCAGGAAUUUUUUAUCCUGAACUUUUGAGCCUUAUAGAAAAACAUAAUUUGUUGGGCAUGUUUUCUGACCCUCAUACAGUUUUUACAACCAUUUGAAGAUAUAGUUCUAGCUCUAGUAGGCUCUACAGGAAGGUAUAUCAAACUUUUUAACAGAACACUUUAUUAUUUUAAAUAUAUGAGUAUUUCACCUGCAUAGGCGCACAGUACCCACAGAGACUAGAAGAGGGUGGCAGAUCUCCUGAGACUGGAGUUAAUGCUUGUGAGCUGCCAUGUGGAUGCUGGAAAUCAAACCCAGGUCCUUUGGAAGGCAGGCAGGUGCUCUUAAUCAUGGAAGCAUCUCUUCAGCUCCUACCCUAGUUCUUUAAUUUUGUUUUAAAUUUUUGAGGUAGGGUUUUGCUAAGUUACUUGGGCUGGCCUUGGACUAGUAACCAUUCUGUGUCAGCCUUCUGGGAUUAGAGGUAUGUGCUAGCAUGUCUAGCAUCUUUCUAUUUCUUUGGUUUUCCUUCUAAUUAAUUAAAAAAUACAUUAUCUUCU
ensembl:processed_transcript A230072C01Rik RIKEN cDNA A230072C01 gene